CCCUUAGAUGUCCUGGGCCGCACGCGCGCUACACUGUUUGAUUCAGCGAGUCUUAACCUUGACCGAAAGGUUUGGGUAAUCUUCUAAAGUCAAACGUGAUGGGGAUCGAUCAUUGCAAUUAUUGAUCGUGAACGAGGAAUUCCUAGUAAAUGCAAGUCAUCAGCUUGCGUUGAUUACGUCCCUGCCCUUUGUACACACCGCCCGUCGCUACUACCGAUUGAAUGGUUUAGUGAGAUCUCCGGAUUGGCUCUGUAGGUCCCGCAAGGGAUUUAUUAGUAGCCAAGAAGCUACUCAAACUUGAUCAUUUAGAGGAAGUAAAAGUCGUAACA
rnacentral:rRNA from 1 species